CUGCCUGUUCUUUUACUCAAUAGACUCGAUGAAUUAACGUUGUACUUGAAAAAUGAAAUCGUACUUUACUACAAACACUUUUCAUAUUCUUUGCCAAGCUUUAGGUAUUCGACAAAGGAUAAGCAUUUUUUUUCUGAUUCCGUUUACUUGAAGAAAAAACAGUCCCGAAUUUGUAAGUAAAUUCAUAACACAUGACAACCCU
rnacentral:lncRNA from 1 species